ACCAUGGGUACUAAAAAUUAAAAUUUUCGUGAGAUUAUUCCAAGCAAUAUAUUACUCUAAUGUUUUUGUUUGACUUUUUAUCAUAAGUACAAACCAGACUUGUUAAAACACAUUGUGGUAAAAUAAGCAUAAAAAAUUGAAUGAUGCUCUUUUUUCACAAACAUCUUUGAUAAUGGGGUGAAUUUUAUUCAUGCCGAACAAGUUACAAGAAAAGUUAACUUAAAUUAUUAACUUGUUCAAAUGAUACAUGUACAUGUAGUUAUGAUUUAUAUUAGCAAUAUUCAAAGCUUAUUUCUCUUUUCAUUUGAUUUAGGUUCCCUUUACAGCCUACAAUCUAUGGUUUUGAUAGACCUGUUUGGUAUUGACAGAUUAGUAACCAGUUAUGGCGUGAUCAAUUUAAGUUUUGGAGUCGGAUCUUUGAUGGCCGGUCCAGCGACAAGUGCUUUGUCUGUGCUAGUGGAUGACGCCGACUUUCCUUUCUAUACCGCUGGAGUAAUGAUGGCCUUGGGUGCCGUGUCCUUGGGCUUCACUAAAUGUUCUUGUAAAAGACUGAAAUCAACACCACAGAGUGAUUUGGAGUCUUCUGACUUGAGUGCGAUCUUCGUCAUUAGUCACACACCUACUAUCGGGGCACCUGCUGCUUAAAAAUAGAAAGAUCAUCGCUCGCUGCUUUCAGUCAAUCUGGAUACAUAAUAGUUCCGAAAUAAACUUUGUUGCUUUGCUUUUGAUAUCCAGGUCAAACUUUUUUCAUCUAGAUUCAUUUGAUUUUUUGGACAAAAUUGGGUGAGACUCCAAAGUUUGCUUUUCAAAAGAAAAAAAAUCUACACAAAAAGAUCCUUUAUAUUUUAAAAGAUAUGAAACUUAAAUACUAUUGAGACCAUACAAAGUAAAUCUAGUUACUUCUAUAGCUAAUGUUGGUAAUUUUCUGCGAUUUUUGCGAGUCUCAUGAAUUUGCAAAACCUUUGUUCUUAAAAAGCAUGCUAAGUGCACUUUUUUGAUAAUGCAUUUGCUCUUGGGUUUAUAGAAUGUUAAGGAAUUGAAUCUUUAUAUUUAGAUUAUCAUUAUUAUUCACAAUAUAAACAGAGACCAGGAAUUAGUAGUAAUAUGUUAAUUUUCAAUCAAUGAUUUUUAUUAUGAUUACAAAAAGAAAAUGAUGGCAUAUACCUACAAUGUAACACUUAAGUCUUAUUCCGAUAUAACUUUAACUAUUGUUAUGUAUAUUCUUUUGGGGGUGCAAUAAAUUUGAUCAAUAAU